CCUGAGCUAGUCAAGGGUCAGAGUUAGGGCCUGGCAGGCAUGAAUCUACAGAAGCAGGUCUUUUGCCCAGGAUUAGACUUUAGGACUCAGGUGGGGACACGGAGGCCUGCCUAAGAAUCUGGAGUUUGCAACACAUAAAAGGAAAAGAGGGAGAGAGAGGAUUCGCCACUGCUAACACAAGGCAAAUACCAGGUUCUUUUUGAGCUAGGGUCUCAUGCGGACUUGACUGGCCUUGAACUCACUAAAUAUCAGAGGAUGACCUCAAACUUCCAACCCUCCUGCCUCCAUCUCCUGCGUGCUGGGUGACCGAUGGUAAUGUUGGGUGGAAGGUAAUCUAGGCUCAGACUCCCCACGAGUGUCCAUACCUGUAUCCAGGAAACCAUUUCCUCUUGGGACCUGCUCGGAAGGAAAGAGAACCUGAUGCGGAGGACAGUACCAGCCCGUUGGUUUAUCUGCUGGUCUCCCACAGCCCCAGCCUGCUAGCAUCUACCUGGCCUGCAGCUCCAGCGUGCGCUGCUUUCCGGACACCAGGAAGCAGUGGGGGAACUCAGCAUCCGUCAGCUCCCGCACCUGCCGGCAGAGGAAAGAGCCAUCAGACCCACAGCCCAGUACCGAGGACAGGAGCAAUCCCUUCCCCACCAGUCAGGCACCCAUGCACCUAGCUCUGCAACAAAUGGGACUGAAGGCUUUGGAACUAUGUCAGCUGACCCGGUGCGGAGUGGAGGGUCCAGAAACAGAAGGUGGACCUCGACAUGACUUGAGUCUAUGAAAACUUUUGGGGUUAUCUUUGCAGCUUAAAUGUUUGCACAAUGAUAAGUGCAAUCAUUCUCUCGGGA